AACGCACAUUGCGCCCCUUGGUAUUCCGAGGGGCAUGCCUGUUCGAGCGUCAUUAUAACCACUCAAGCCUUGGCUUGGUAUUGGGGUUCGCGAUCUCGCGGCCCUUAAAAUCAGUGGCGGUGCCGUCUGGCUCUAAGCGUAGUAAUUUCUCUCGCUACAGGGUCUGGUGGUUACUUGCCAUUAACCCCCCAUUUUCUUAGGUUGACCUCGGAUCAGGUAGGGAUACCCGCUGAACUUAA
rnacentral:misc_RNA from 1 species